GUCCUUGUUUUAGUUGAUUUAGCCUUAGUGAGGGCAAGGCGAUGCUCGUGUAGAGAUUCCAUGGCCAGUUCCACUUUGGACAGACGAAGAUCCAAUGUGAGGUUACAUGCGUCUAUGUCUUUUUGACUGUCCAACGUUCUGGUCCUUUUUAGGAAGUCCAGAUAUUCGUCUGUGAGCCUACGAUAAUUUGUACAGGCUUUUACAAGAUUGUCCUGAAUUGUUAAGACUUGCUGAAGUUCAUUGGGAG
rnacentral:lncRNA from 1 species